CCUACGGGUGGCUGCAGUGGGGAAUAUUGGACAAUGGGGGGAACCCUGAUCCAGCCAUGCCGCGUGUGUGAAGAAGGCCCUCGGGUUGUAAAGCACUUUCAGUGAGGAAGAACGCCUGGUGGUUAAUACCCAUCAGGAAAGACAUCACUCACAGAAGAAGCACCGGCUAACUCCGUGCCAGCAGCCGCGGUAAUACGGAGGGUGCGAGCGUUAAUCGGAAUUACUGGGCGUAAAGCGCGCGUAGGUGGCUUGAUAAGCCGGUUGUGAAAGCCCCGGGCUCGACCUGGGAACGGCAUCCGGAACUGUGAAGCUAGAGUGCAGGAGAGGAAGGUAGAAUUCCCGGUGUAGCGGUGAAAUGCGUAGAGAUCGGGAGGAAUACCAGUGGCGAAGGCGGCCUUCUGGACUGACACUGACACUGAGGUGCGAAAGCGUGGGUAGCAAACAGGAUUAGAUACCCGAGUAGUC
rnacentral:rRNA from 1 species